CUCGCCGCCGCAGCCACCUAGCCUCUGUGCUGUUUGCUGCCACAGAAGAGGGAGGUUCUUGGUUGUGGGUUGAGUGUGUAGGGUUUCCAGCAACAGUUACUUCAUCCAACGGUAACUUUCCUUGCCUGUGGUGUAACAGGAGCAGCUGAGAAGUAAGGACUUUGACGCGAGACGCGCAUCUUGACUACCAGUUUGGACCUUUCU